UGCAAAUUGGAUUUCAGGCCCCUUGUUGUAGGGGGAUCGAAGAACAUGGAAAGUUGGGUGGGGCGACUGAGGGUGGCAUUGGUGUCAUGCCAAAAGCAGAAACGAGAGCAUAGUGCCAAGCCUACUACCCUCAAGCCAAGAAGCGCAGUCCUCUUCAGCAUUUACUGUGUACAGCAUGUCAAUCCCCUGAAGCACAAGUUUUGACGAAUUCUUGCCAGUUGGGUAGCAGCACAAGAGGUGAUGGAUUGUUUGGAGAGACUCCGUGCAGUGAGCAGGAGGUGGGUUUGGCCACCGUCUGUGGAGGAGGCUAAGUGGAGAAGAGGGUGGUGGUGGUGGGUAGAGAGUCGAGGGGGAAGGAGAGUGGGGAUAGAGUGAUGCAGUCCUUGACUUUUCCUCCACGUCGAAUGCGCACUGGAGACAUUCCACCGUCCAGGUACCAAAUCCAAAUGGUGUGCAACUGUCUCAACCCACUUCCCACAAAUGGACUUGUCUCGCAGUCUUUUGCCGCCUCGCCCUUACAUCUUCCAAACAGCGUGCAACUGAAUCCUUAUACUGUAUUUAUACACCACUCUAUUUUUGGACGAAAGGAGGCGAAGAGCGCGGACGAGCGGAUUCAAACUCGCCCGACGAGACCCUGCAAUGUAGCGCAGGAUUUGGCUCGAAGGAGAUGGGGGCUGAAGUAUAGUCACCCAACCUCGGAGGAUGGUCCAAUUCUCCUGCGCCAGUUCAACAUCAGGAGCGGAUUUCGAAGCAAGCGUGAUGACCAUGAGGGGAUCAUCGAAUAACGCAACACAGUAGCGCUACGUAUUUCUUCUAGAGAAGAAGCAGUCGGAGAGAAUGAAUGUGAAGAAUCAACACAGGUUCAACUGCCGACUUCCAACACUUUAUUGUUAUCUAUUACAGCCCUUAGUCAUGGCCGACCAUAGCAGGGCUGAUCCAUAUCCAGGACUCCGCUUCUAAGAGCGCACAAGCUGAUUGCUGGAAUUGACACAUUUCCCCCUUCUACACAAUUGCUGCUUUGAAGUGAAAAACUAAGGAGUGCGUCUUGUUUGACGAAUAUGAACCAUCCUCCAGCAAUGAGUACGAUAAGGUACUUGUCAACCGACAUUGCUGUUGUAACUACGUGCUCCCAAGCAGCCAUGUCAAAUCACUUCUGCUAUCACUGGAUUAUAGAUUUCACUUCUCACACGGUCUUCGUUUGUGAAUUCAAUUAACGAUGUGUUUUACAACAUCUGAUUUGGCAAUUUCUGAAUUUCACGCAUGUUGAUCUUGUCACCUGAAUUUCGACAUUUUUGUCGUCAAAGUAGGAUUGAAUCAGAGUUAUUGAUUCAUCCAGAGUAACUGCCUUUUGAGUGUAACUGGUUUUCGUUACCAGGAAACCAAGGGGCUGAAACUUCUGCAAUAUACAGUUCUGCAGCCAAUCAUGUGCUUUCCAGGUCCCAAGAGUUUAUUUAAUUUUCUAAUGUAGAAAAUCUACUCCUGCAUCUAGAAGCUUUGACAAAAGGUCGUCGACCAUCUGGGGCUGCUCGAAAAUAGAUUCAUCCAGAGUAGGACAAUGUGUGGUACGACCUUUUCAAAUGGUUUUGUGUUCGGUUCGCCUGGUAAGGAGAAGGUCUGCCCUCGCUGAGGGGGUAGUGCUGCAUUAAAUGGGACAUGCACAGAAUCGCACUUAUGAAAGGCUUUUUUAAGUAAAACAAUGAACAUGACCAUGCUCGUUGAUUCUGACUCCAGUCAUUAAUCAGAUAAGAGCAGACGUUUUAAACUCGGUCUUCGCCAUGGAGCGACAAGGGUGUGUUUCUCCGUCACCACGCACCUCUUCGGGUUUGUGCCUUCAACUCACAGCUUUUGUGGGACGAACACACGCACCUUUGGUUUUUUCUCAACUGUUGCAGGUUGCUUAUGAACCAAGUGGAUCUCGUAGGUUGAGGAAGAAACGAUGAUAUGCAACGUGAUAAUGCCUUGAGGGGCGUUUUCUUCAAGAUCUUUGUCGUUUCGUAACUUGUCUCUGGCGUGUUUCCUCGCUGCAUGGCCACAUGGUAAGAAAACCAGGUGCAAGUGAGGCCUGGCAAUUUGACAGGUCCAAACCAAGAAUGGAAGCAGUUGCAGUUAAGCUGCUACCUUCGAUGGUGGUUGCCUGGUUGGUGCGAAAACUAAACUGUAAAUCAGACACGUUCUUCAAUCCUGGUUGUGAAGAAUUUACCACAACCUACAUAGUUUGUGGAACACUCUUUGCUGGUCAAAGUCAAGCAGAAAACCUAUCCAAUAAAGAAAUAUCUACUCUACUCCCAAUUUACAGCAGCAGUAGCCUCUUGUUCCUGAUGCAAGGCACAUAAACCUGUAAGUUUAUUCACCUCAUUUGGUGGAGUAUAGAAGAGCCAAAUUGAGCACCCAAUUCUCUUGACCAGUCUUGUUUAGCAAGGAUCAGGUAUAUCCACUUCAAAAUACAAUUGCUUUAUUGAAA